GACGUAGGGCGCGAGCGUUGUCCGGAUUUAUUGGGCGUAAAGAGCUCGUAGGCGGCUUGUCGCGUCGUUCGUGAAAACUUGGGGCUCAACCCCAAGCUUGCGGUCGAUACGGGCAGGCUAGAGUUCGGUAGGGGAGACUGGAAUUCCUGGUGUAGCGGUGAAAUGCGUAGAGAUCAUGAGGAAGACCAGUGGCGAAGGCGGGUCUCUGGACAGUUCCUGACACUGAGGCACGAAGGCCAGGGGAGCAAACGGG
rnacentral:rRNA from 1 species